CUCGCGCCGCCGUGCUUCUUGCUCGAUCGGUUUGUUAUCCAUCGAAUCGACGUAAGGUAUAGUACAAAGAAACCGUGAUUUAAUGGGGGAGCCCGGAGAAGGAGCUUUGUUGGGACCCGCCAGAGCGCCCUUGGACCCUCACGCAAACCUUGUUGAAGCUGAGGAGUCGAAUCCGGUUGCCGAAGUUACCGCAUCAUCAUCAUUGGAAUUGGAAAAAGAGAAGGUUGAACGAGGCAACGCAAGGAAAAAAAAUAAAGCGAUCAACCAACGCAGACAUGACGAAAUACCAGUGGUGCUCAUGGCCAGGUGUUGUUGGUCUCAAGGCGGACAAGGCCAAGAGGAUCAUCAGGAAAGGCAAGCCGGACCUCUUUUGUUCAGUGGUUCCACAAAACCAGUUUCUGACCAUGGCCUACUGCACGAAUCGUGUUAGGCUCAUAGUGGACAGAUCCAACCGUGUAGUGCGAACUCCCCGUGUUGGUUAGUGAACAACGAAGUAAAAAAGAGAAUCAAGUGCUUAAUUCAGAUGUGCUUACUGAAUUAUAUUCUCUAUAUCUUCAUGUCCUCGAUCGUAGUAGGAAAGAUGAUCGUAGUAACAAACUCCCCGUGUUGGUUAGUUAACAUCAAGUGA